rnacentral:rRNA from 1 species
ACGGGGGGUGCAAGCGUUGUUCGGAAUUAUUGGGCGUAAAGAGCGUGUAGGCGGCUGAAUAAGUCAGAUGUGAAAUCCCUGGGCUUAACCCAGGAAGUGCAUUUGAAACUAUUCAGCUUGAGUAGGGGAGAGGAAAGUGGAAUUCCUGGUGUAGAGGUGGAAUUCGUAGAUAUCAGGAGGAACACCGAUGGCGAAGGCGGCUUUCUGGCCCUGUACUGACGCUGAGGCGCGAGAGCGUGGGUAGCAAACAG